CGUACAGAACCUUCCCUUAAGCGGGGAUAGCCCAUAGAAAUGUGGAUUAAUACCCCAUAGCAAUAUUUGAUGGCAUCAUCGGGUAUUUAAAGAUUUAUCACUUAAAGAUGGCUGUGCGGCUGAUUAGGUAGUUGGUGAGGGUAACGGCCCACCAAGCCAGCGAUCAGUAACUGGUGUGAGAGCACGACCAGUCACACGGGCACUGAGACACGGGCCCG
rnacentral:rRNA from 1 species